GCUCUGUGAUGAGCCCAUGCGUGUCAUCUGAGCCUGGCUUCCCCGUCCUCAGCCCCGGGGAGUGUUCUACUUCCCUGGCCUGUCAGCUGGCCUCGUGUGGGAGUCUUGGCAAAGGAUCAGCCUUCGUAUCCUGAGAGC
rfam:Canis lupus familiaris chromosome 5, whole genome shotgun sequence.